GGAGAGCUUGCUCUCUGGGUGGCGAGUGGCGGACGGGUGAGGAAUGCAUCGGAAUCUACUCUUUCGUGGGGGAUAACGUAGGGAAACUUACGCUAAUACCGCAUACGACCUACGGGUGAAAGCCGGGGACCUUCGGGCCUGGCGCGAAUGAAUGAGCCGAUGCCCGAUUAGCUAGUUGGCGGGGUAAGAGCCCACCAAGGCGACGAUCGGUAGCUGGUCUGAGAGGAUGAUCAGCCACACUGGAACUGAGACACGGUCCAGACUCCUACGGGAGGCAGCAGUGGGGAAUAUUGGACAAUGGGCGCAAGCCUGAUCCAGCCAUACCGCGUGGGUGAAGAAGGCCUUCGGGUUGUAAAGCCCUUUUGUUGGGAAAGAAAAGCAGCUGGUUAAUACCCGGUUGUUCUGACGGUACCCAAAGAAUAAGCACCGGCUAACUUC
rnacentral:rRNA from 1 species